ensembl:snoRNA SNORD115 Small nucleolar RNA SNORD115
GUAUUAAUGAAGAGAAAUUAUUUUUUCUUGAGUAAAUGUGAUAAUCUAACAAUUGUGUUCAAUAGAAUUAAACUGAGACCC